rnacentral:tRNA from 1 species
GUUUUUAUAGUUUAAAUAAAACCUUGGUCUUGUAAACCAAAAAUAAGAUUCCCUUUAAAAACA